AAAUUUUUUUUUAUGUAAAGCUACAUUUUUUCUUUAAAAAUAUAAUAUUCCCUAGUAAUAAAAACACAUCAUAAUCUGAAGUUCACCUCAGUUUUGUGAUUUUGUGAUUUUAUAUAAGUGUUAAUUAGUUUGGGAUGUUUAACAUCAAACACAAGAAUUUUUAAAACGCAGUAAGUUGAAGGUUCGUUCCUGAAGGGUCUUCAGCAAACUUAUCAAAAAAUAUCAGAAUAACAGUCCAUCCAAAUUUACAAUAAAACAAGCAAAUUCUUGGCAUUAAAUGCAAUUUAUUUGUAACAUUUCAUUUAGAAAGGAAGAAAGUAAUGUGAUGUUAUCUUAAUA
rnacentral:lncRNA from 1 species